CCAGAUUUACACAGCUGGAUCCACCGCUGGGCUCACCUGCGCAUUCUGGCUUCCUGGGUCCUGCCUGGGAGAGGAAGGGGUGCAGAGAGUGGAGAAAGUUGGACAGGAGAGGGAGCUACCAUUGCUCCUGGCCUCAUCUGUGUCUGAAGAAUGAUUACCCUGAGGGGUUUCUCUACUUAUCUCCUCCCUGGAUGGCUGUAUAAGCCAGAUGAUGGUUACCUGAACACUCCAGAAAAAGAAUUCACAGAGGGUUUCACAGGGCACAGCCUCGCAGUCUGGAGGGAGAAGAGGGCAAAGCGGUCUUCACGGACGCCACCUACUGCCUGGCUGGGCAGAGAGCCAGUGGAUCAGAGAGGCCGGCUCUGUUCUUGGCAGGAAAUGAGGAGCUGGCAUGGAAAUGCCACCCAGGCUGGGAACAAGAUCUAUGGAGUGGCAGCCUGAGUGGGUGAGGUGAUCCAGAGUCCUAACUGUCUCCUCUCUCAUCCCUUCAACCAAACUUUCCUGAGCAACUCUGAUGCCAGGCAUUUCUAGCACUGUGACAGAACCUGAGGACAGAGGGCCCUGCUUCAAAGGUAACCACCUGCCUCCUUCUGCUAUCACAGGGCUGACC
rnacentral:lncRNA from 1 species